UACAGAGGGGGCAAGCGUUGUUCGGAAUUACUGGGCGUAAAGGGCGCGUAGGCGGCCUGUUAAGUCGAACGUGAAAUCCCCGGGCUCAACCCGGGAACUGCGUCCGAUACUGGCAGGCUUGAAUCCGGGAGAGGGAUGCGGAAUUCCAGGUGUAGCGGUGAAAUGCGUAGAUAUCUGGAGGAACACCGGUGGCGAAGGCGGCAUCCUGGACCGGUAUUGACGCUGAGGCGCGAAAGCCAGGGGAGCACACGGG
rnacentral:rRNA from 1 species